GGGCAGCAGUGGGGAAUUUUGGACAAUGGGGGCAACCCUGAUCCAGCCAUUCCGCGUGAGUGAAGAAGGCCUUCGGGUUGUAAAGCUCUUUCAGCCGGAACGAAACGGUACGCACUAAUAUUGUGUGCUAAUGACGGUACCGGCAGAAGAAGCACCGGCUAACUACGUGCCAGCAGCCGCGGUAAUACGUAGGGUGCGAGCGUUAAUCGGAAUUACUGGGCGUAAAGCGUGCGCAGGCGGAUUGUUAAGCAAGAUGUGAAAUCCCCGGGCUUAACCUGGGAAUGGCAUUUUGAACUGGCAGUCUAGAGUGUGUCAGAGGGGGGUGGAAUUCCACGUGUAGCAGUGAAAUGCGUAGAUAUGUGGAGGAACACCAAUGGCGAAGGCAGCCCCCUGGGAUAACACUGACGCUCAUGUACGAAAGCGUGGGUAGCAAACAGGAUUAGAUACCCCAGUAGUC
rnacentral:rRNA from 1 species